UCCAUUGCGGUGAACGGCAAGGAGGUGGCCCUGCCCAGAUUAAUUCCCCCUUGUUGUGCCCCUGGAUCCUUAGGAAUUCUGGAAUCAGCAGAUGAACAGGGAGACAGGAUCAAGAGGAUGUUGGGAGAAUGAGGGCUGGGAGAGGCUGCUGGCAGAGACCAGAGGCCGCAAGUGAGGCGAGCACCCUAGCUGGUGGCCUCCUGUGGGGAGAACCAGCCGGAGCCGGAGCGGAGGCCUGAAGCCCCACAAGACUGACACAGACACCAGAGAAAAUACCACGGGCUACUUCCCAGUGGGAAACAGCCACUAACUUCUCAUUCCUCCUGGAUGAAGACAGAGAAAGAGGAAGUGAUGUGGUGGAGAGGAAGACGGAGCGCCAAGUUGAAGUCUGUGCUCAUGGGACCCCACAGACAAACAUGGCGCCCGUCUUGCUGGAGGCUUUUUACCAAACAGUUUUAUCGCGAGCAGGCUCUCGAAGGAUUGCAGGGCUGCAGCAGCAAAGAGUCAGAAAACAUACCCUGUGCUGGGAAGCAGAAGAGGGUCCAACGGAACAGAGCGUUCAUGAAGGGACCGAGCCUGAACUGGGCGGUGGCCGGCUCCUCCCAUCUGCUUCCAGCCAAACGCAUGCCCAGCACACACACAAAACAAUAUGGAUACUUACAAAAGAGAGCACUUUAUAGCUAGAGACUAACUGUUGCUUCUUUUGGCAUUCUUUUAACUGUGAAUCUAUUGAAACCCUUCACUAAUAGGGGGCUUAUCAGAAGUGUGGCUGGGGAGGUGCCGAAACAGUUAGAUAACAUGAAAUAUUAACCCAAGCCAGCACAUCCCAAACCAGACCUCUCUCAAACAUGAUGCCCAGGUGUGGGGAGCCAUCACAUCUCUGCCAUUCUCCUUAGCGAUAAAUCUGCUGUUGA